ensembl:snRNA U6 U6 spliceosomal RNA
GUGCCUGCUUUGGCAGCACAUACACUAACAUUGGAAUGAUACAGAGAAGAUUAACAUGAUGCCUGUGCAAGGAUGACAUUCCAAGUUGUGAAGAGUUGCGUAUUUUU